GACGAACGCUGGCGGCGUGCUUAAUACAUGCAAGUGGAGCGACGAACCAGGGCUUGCCCUGGGGCAGAGCCGCGAACGGGUGAGCAACACGUGGGUAACCUGCCUCGAUGACCGGGACAACCCGAGGAAACUCGGGCUAAUACCGGAUGUGCUCUCCUCACAUCAGUGGGAAGAGGAAAGGAAGCUUCGGCCUCCGCAUCGGGAUGGGCCCGCGGCCCAUUAGCUAGUUGGUGGGGAAUGGCCUACCAAGGCUUCGAUGGGUAGCUGUUCUGAGAGGAAGAUCAGCCACACUGGGACUGAGACACGGCCCAGACUCCUACGGGAGGCAGCAGUAGGGAAUCUUGCGCAAUGCGCGAAAGCGUGACGCAGCAACGCCGCGUGCGGGAAGACGGCCU
rnacentral:rRNA from 1 species